GAUGAAGAACGCAGCGAAAUGCGAUAAGUAAUGCGAAUUGCAGAAUUCCGUGAAUCAUCGAAUCUUUGAACGCACAUUGCGCCCCCUGGUAUUCCGGGGGGCAUGCCUGUUCGGGCGUCAUUUCACCACUCAAGCCUCGCUUGGUAUUGGGCAACGCGGUCCGCCGCGUGCCUCAAAUCGACCGGCUGGGUCUUCUGUCCCCUAAGCGUUGUGGAAACUUUCGCUAAAGGGUGUUCGGGAGGCUACGCCGUAAAACAACCCCAUUUCUAAGGUUGACCUCGGAUCAGGUAGGGAUACCCGCUGAACUUAAGCAUAUCAAUAAGCGGAGGA
rnacentral:misc_RNA from 1 species